AACGAACGCUGGCGGCAUGCCUAACACAUGCAAGUCGAACGAGACCUUCGGGUCUAGUGGCGCACGGGUGCGUAACGCGUGGGAACCUGCCCUUAGGUUCGGAAUAACUCCCCGAAAGGGGUGCUAAUACCGGUUAAUGUCUUCGGACCAAAGAUUUAUCGCCUUUGGAUGGGCCCGCGUUGGAUUAGCUAGUUGGUAGGGUAAAAGCCUACCAAGGCGACGAUCCAUAGCUGGUCUGAGAGGAUGAUCAGCCACACUGGGACUGAGACACGGCCCAGACUGCUACGGGAGGCAGCAGUGGGGAAUAUUGGACAAUGGGCGAAAGCCUGAUACAGCAAUGCCGCGUGAGUGAGGAAGGCCUUAGGGUUGUAAAGCUCUUUUACCCGGGAUGAUAAUGACAGUACCGGGAGAAUAAGCUCCGGCUAACUCCGUG
rnacentral:rRNA from 1 species